rnacentral:lncRNA from 1 species
CAGUAUCAAUCAUUUGAAUGAGUUUGCUAAGAUUAUUUUGAAUCUUAAAAGUGUUGGUGUUUAAGUAGAUGAUGAAGAUACCAUAUCUCAUAGGGAAAUAGUUUUGUACUUAUAAUUACUCUUAUGCUAAUUACCUCCUUCAAAUGAACAUUUUGUUGAUAUUUAAUUAUAUGGGAUAGAUAAUAAUUAUGUGGAAGAUAGAAAUGUUACACUAAAC